rnacentral:lncRNA from 1 species
CUCUAUUAUAUUUCAUUUUUCUUCUUUUCAUUUUCCCAAAAUGGCUAUUUAUAAAAGGAAGAAGAGAGUCGUAGUGGUUGUCAAUUGGAGAAGCAAUUGGAAUAUCUCAUCACUUAACGGUUUCAAAACCCCCCUCCAUAUAUUCUCAAAUAUUUGAUCUACCUACUUCUGAUCAGCAACAUCGUUGGCUCACUUGGGACAUGGCUUGAGAAGAUUUCAUUGGUGAGUAACCAUCAUUUUUCAUCUUUGGGGACAUGUAUGAUUAGUACUAGGAUGUCAUGACCACUCACUUCCAAGGGCAAUUUGAUCUGCUUCAGGGCAAACUUGAGGACGUCUCCGUUUGUAUCCAAACCAAGCAUGUCUUCCCGCCUCCUCAGCCUUGAGCCAUAAUCUUUUCCCCCUUAUUUUGAUGUUGCCAAAGGGGUAGAUACAUUUAUAAGCAUAUCUAGGUAUAUAUUUUGUAUGUGCUUAUCAUAGUUUAGACAUGUUUAGCUUACUUUUGGAUAUUGUUAUUGGCAUCUUUUGAUUACUUAUGAUCAUUAUCUUUUUGGAUCCUGUUUUGGACAUGGCACAUUUAUGGAUUGGAUGCCAUAUUGAUAGAUAUUUUGGUUUACAUAUGCAUACUUCAUUUUGAUUUUACAAUGGCUAUUAUUUAUUGCUUUGUGCUUAAUUAGGUCAUUAUCAAUUUUCAAUUAAUUACUUUCAUUAUUGAUCACGCAUGUAAUUAAAGGAAGUUUCUUCCCUAGAUAGCCAGGUUUGUAAUCAUAAAAAUGGGGGGAGAUUGUUAGCUCAAAGUUUCUCGUAAUCGAGUUUUAACGAUAACACAACAGGUUUAAUCAUACUAAUGAUUCAAUCAAUAUUAAUUUUUUCAUGUUUUCAAUAAAUUAAAGGUAAUUCAAGUUAAUUCUAUGGAUGAUCAAAUUUAAUAAAGACUUAAACACUAUCAACCAAUAUAAGAUUGUUCUUGUUGAUGCACUUGAGUCAAUUAAAAUUAUUCAUGCACUUAACAAUUUAAAAUGAUCCUCUUAUAGUUUUAAAUAAAAUAUGUUUUUAAAAUUGAAUGAUUUCAUGUUUUUUGAUAAACCCUAACCUAAUUUUUUUUAUAAAAAAAAACAUAUUUAAAGGGUUUAUAAGUUGAUUCAUUCAAGAUUAAUUUUUUCAUGUUUUCAAUAAAUUAAAGGUAAUUCAAGUUAAUUCUAUGGAUGAUCAAAUUUAAUAAAGACUUAGACACUAUCAACCAAUAUAAGAUUAUUCUUGUUGAUGCACUUGAGUCAAUUAAAAUUAUUCGUGCACUUAACAAUUUAAAAUGAUCCUCUUAUAUAUAGUUUUAAAUUAAAUAUGUUUUUAAAAUUGAAUGAUUUCAUGUUUUUUGAUAAACCCUAACCUAAUUUUUUUUUUUUUUAAAAAAAACAUAUUUAAAGGGUUUAUAAGUUGAUUUGGAAGCCUUCUUAGGGUUCCUGAUUUUGAUAUGAUCUCAAAUCUACAAAAAUGCAUUAAUAGGUUGAGGAGUAGGGAAUCGAUCAAGCUGCCCCUUUGUUCACCUAGAGGUCCAGAAGUUGGUUUUAAAUGGUUAGAGCAAGACCUUGAUUGAUCAAAGAUUGGUUGAAUUGGUUGCUCAAUCCGGGUUGCUUAAUUUUGUUGAACUCUUAGUCCCCACCGACUAGUCAAUAUUUGGUCAAAUUGGUUGAUCAAUUAGUUGAACUCAAGUUGUGAUUUUUAAGAGCAUAUAUGUACAAGAGACCCUUAGUAUUUAAUUGUUUACCCUUCUAAAAACUCUUUCAAAGCUCUCAAGUGCAUUCAUUCUUUCACUUGCAAAGUAUUGUGCACCAGACAAAUUAAUUAAUUUGUUUCACUAGGAUUGAGUGUUCUUCAUUCUUACUUCUAAAUUUGCUAGAUUAUUGUUCGAGUGAAUUUAGUCACUUGAGGUGAUUUGUGAAGGUCCAUUCUAAUCUUGAAAUUUAAUUGUAGAUAUUGAAGUCUCG